UAAAAAUUUCCAGUAACCCUAGCUUGAAACAGAUGAGGGCUCGCUUUACAAUUUCCCUUCUAUCCCUGAUCUCCUUCGUCUCUCUCCGUAGCUACCUCUUCAACCUCCACCAUCGCUUCCUCUUCAACCUCCACCGUCGCUUCCUCUUCAACCUUUCACCAUCCCUUGUUCUAGGCUACAUUCACCUCAGAUCUCUUAUCUCAGAUCUCAGAUCUCAACCUUUCAACUUUUCACCCUCCCUUCUUUCGGAUCUCAGAUCUGCCAUCGACGCUGCUCAUUGCCACUAGUUUACUACACUCCCUCACGCCGCCGAGCUCGUUGUCGCCGCCGACGACUCUUUCUUUCCUUUAGGCUGGAUACAUAGUUGAUGGAAACUUUGGAUGGACUGGCUGUUAGUUAAGUACAUUAAGUUCAUGAAUACAUUUGGGAAGCAGUGGAUACUGUACAGAAUCAUUAAGAGAUCUUGUUACUCUAAAUCCGAAGCUGCUGUUAAUGAACCACUGCAUACAUAGAGCAAUCACUCCCUUAUCCACAAGGUGGAAAACAUGUUUAAAAAAAUUAAUUUGCAUAUAUACAACUACUUGAGAAGAAAAAGUUCACAAAGCCACUAUUACAACCACAAAAUUAUCAUUUGAAAGAGGAAUUGGAUCAGGAGAGUGAGAUUCCAUCACCAAAAGAGUUAGGAAGUAGGUCUUCUGGAGCAAGCAAUAAGGAAGCAUGACCUUACUUGAUAUGUUAAGACGUAUAUUAAGAAUUAUAUGUUAAGACGUAUUAUUGAAAAAUGUUACUUUGAUACUUUGUUUUUAGAUUAUGACCUUUCAAUUAUGACUUGGAUUAUGACUUUUGGAUCAUGUAUGAAUUAAAAAUCAUCUAAUGAUGUUUGAUUUAUGAUUAUGCCUUUUGGUUAUUA